UACAGAGGUCCCAAGCGUUGUUCGGAUUCACUGGGCGUAAAGGGUGCGUAGGCGGCCGGGUAAGUCUGAUGUGAAAUCCCGCAGCUCAACUGCGGAACUGCAUCGGAUACUCUCCGGCUAGAGGAAUGGAGGGGAGACUGGAAUUCUCGGUGUAGCAGUGAAAUGCGUAGAUAUCGAAGAGGAACACCAGUGGCGAAGGCGGCGAUCUGGACAGAUAUUGACGCUGAGGUGCGAAAGCGUGGGAGCAAACAGG
rnacentral:rRNA from 1 species